rnacentral:rRNA from 1 species
CACAGCUUCAAUCAUCUAACUAAUUACAGUAUAGUCCCUACUAAAGUUAUUAGAAAGUUGAGUCACUUAUUUUGAAAUGAAGGAAGUACAACCCAGUCACAUUACGAUGGCGUCCUUGGCCAGAGCUGGCCGUUUCAUGGUGCUCCUGCAGAUCGCGCUGUUCGUCGUGUCCGCGGUGAUCAUGAGCGGCUCCGUCUGCCACGAAGUCGGGAUCGGUCCCGAUGCUCUCGACCCUAGCCGCCGCCCUAUAUGCGGAGGCAGACCAUGCGGACAGCGUGGCCUACCGUACGGCGGCCGGCCCUGGAGCCCCUCCGCCGUACGAUGGAGGGAUUGGGCGACCAUGAUCAUAGCAGCACAAGUUGCUACAACAACCUUACUGAACCAGCCGGGAGUGUGAUAUCCGGUCGUAUGAAUAAACUCCCGUUUAUUACUGCAAAUAAAACUGCGAGUCUUGCCCCCAUAUACGAAUGGGUGUGUGAACGUGAAAGUUUGGUUCCGAAUUAUACUAC